CCAAAGGCUCUUUUAAAAGCCACUACAUUCACGCUGAAAGGAGCUGU
rfam:Chelonia mydas contig215284, whole genome shotgun sequence.